GCCGGUGUAGCUCAGCGGUAGAGCGUUGCCCCUGUAAGGCAGAAUGCGCAGGUUCGAGUCCUGCCGCCGGCCGCAGGUUCGAGUCCUGCCGCCGGCCCCA
rnacentral:tRNA from 1 species